UACGGGGGGAGCAAGCGUUGUUCGGAUUUACUGGGCGUAAAGGGCGCGUAGGCGGCCACCGCAAGUCAAUUGUGAAAUCUCCGGGCUUAACUCGGAAAGGUCAACUGAUACUGCGGGGCUAGAGUGCGGAAGGGGGCAACUGGAAUUCUCGGUGUAGCGGUGAAAUGCGUAGAUAUCGAGAGGAACACCUGCGGCGAAGGCGGGUUGCUGGGCCGACACUGACGCUGAGGCGCGAAAGCCAGGGGAGCGAACGGG
rnacentral:rRNA from 1 species